ACGGGAGGCAGUAGGCGGGAAGAGUGCGCAAUGGAGGAAACUCUGACGCAGGGACGCCGCGUGCAGGAAGAAGGUUUUCGGAUUGUAAACUGCUUUAGACAGGGAAGAAACAAGACAGUACCUGUAGAAUAAGCUCCGGCUAACUACGUGCCAGCAGCCGCGGUAAUACGUAGGGAGCGAGCGUUAUCCAGAUUUAUUGGGUGUAAAGGGUGCGUAGACGGGAAAAUAAGUUAGUUGUGAAAUCCCUCGGCUUAACUGAGGAACUGCAACUAAAACUGUUUUUCUUGAGUACUGGAGAGGAAAGUGGAAUUCCUAGUGUAGCGGUGAAAUGCGUAGAUAUUAGGAGGAACACCAGUGGCGAAGGCGACUUUCUGGACAGAAACUGACGUUGAGGCACGAAAGUGUGGGGAGCAAACAGGAUUAGAUACCCUGGUA
rnacentral:rRNA from 1 species